ACGCUGGCGGCGUGCCUAAUACAUGCAAGUAGAACGCUGAAGGAGGAGCUUGCUUCUCCGGAUGAGUUGCGAACGGGUGAGUAACGCGUAGGUAACCUGCCUGGUAGCGGGGGAUAACUAUUGGAAACGAUAGCUAAUACCGCAUAACAGUAGAUGUUGCAUGACAUUUGCUUAAAAGGUGCAAUUGCCCCCCUACCAGAUGGACCUGCGUUGUAUUAGCUAGUUGGUGAGGUAACGGCUCCCCAAGGCAACGAUACAUAGCCGACCUGAGAGGGUGAUCGGCCACACUGGGACUGAGACACGGCCCAGACUCCUACGGGAGGCAGCAGUAGGGAAUCUUCGGCAAUGGACGGAAGUCUGACCGAGCAACGCCGCGUGAGUGAAGAAGGUUUUCGGAUCGUAAAGCUCUGUUGUAAGAGAAGAACGAGUGUGAGAGUGGAAAGUUCACACUGUGACGGUAUCUUACCAGAAAGGGACGGCUAACUACGUGCCAGCAGCCGCGGUAAUACGUAGGUCCCGAGCGUUGUCCGGAUUUAUUGGGCGUAAAGCGAGCGCAGGCGGUUAGAUAAGUCUGAAGUUAAAGGCUGUGGCUUAACCAUAGUACGCUUUGGAAACUGUUUAACUUGAGUGCAAGAGGGGAGAGUGGAAUUCCAUGUGUAGCAGUGAAAUGCGUAGAUAUAUGGAGGAACACCGGUGGCGAAAGCGGCUCUCUGGCUUGUAACUGACGCUGAGGCUCGAAAGCGUGAGGAGCAAACAGGAUUAGAUACCCUGGUAGUCCACGCCGUAAACGAUGAGUGCUAGGUGUUAGACCCUUUCCGGGGUUUAGUGCCGCAGCUAACGCAUUAAGCACUCCGCCUGGGGAGUACGACCGCAAGGUUGAAACUCAAAGGAAUUGA
rnacentral:rRNA from 1 species